GGGCCUGUUUUUGAUGGGGUUUUUCACAUGUUGUUGAACCAGAACUCCUCAACAUUCCACAAAUUGUCGGAUGGGUCCCCACCGUCCACCCAUAAUUGGUGGUUGUUCUGCUCCAUGGCUUGGAAAUCCAUUACUUGGUUAAAAUAACCAGAAGGACUAAUCAUCAAUUCUGAGUAGCCAACUUGCCCAGAUUGAAAAUA
rnacentral:misc_RNA from 1 species